UACGUAGGGUGCAAGCGUUGUCCGGAAUUAUUGGGCGUAAAGAGCUCGUAGGCGGUCUGUUGCGUCGGCUGUGAAAACCCGGGGCUCAACUCCGGGCCUGCAGCCGAUACGGGCAGACUAGAGUUCGGCAGGGGAGACUGGAAUUCCUGGCGUAGCGGUGAAAUGCGCAGAUAUCAGGAGGAACACCGGUGGCGAAGGCGGGUCUCUGGGCCGAUACUGACGCUGAGGAGCGAAAGCGUGGGGAGCGAACAGG
rnacentral:rRNA from 1 species